AUGGUCAAAUGUUAGUUGUUAUUUUCUUUGGUGAUCUAUUUUUGUGGGGGGUUUGAUUAGCUGUCAAUUUUUAUGCCUUUGGGUCAAGUUUGAACUUGGACAUGCUUUGUUUGUGUUGAUUGCUUAAUAUAAAUGUGGGAGACAAAAAGGAGAAGAACAUGGGAAGAAAUUGAAUUAUGUUGCAUAUUUUUUAAAAUAUAUAUUAGAAAAGUUGUUUAUGUUUCACCUACUUGAAUAAUGACAAGAUUAUAGGCUAGAUUCAAUGGAAGAAGAUCCCUCUUUCUUUGGGGUUCCAUGGCUUUAUUAUACAUAUGAAAUUGAAAUUCAAGGUUUCUGGAUUGUGUUAUUAAUAAUAAUUAUGAAGAAUCUGUUUUUCCAUCCCUUUUCUUGAUCAUAACAUGCCUUUCUUGAUGUAUGUUUGCCAUCAUUUUCAUUGUGUUCAUUUUCUUACCUUUCUUGG
rnacentral:lncRNA from 1 species